rnacentral:rRNA from 1 species
GACAGAGGGUGCAACCGUUGUUCGGAAUUACUGGGCGUAAAGCGAGUGUAGGCGGUCUCGUAAGUCGGGUGUGAAAGCCCCGGGCUCAACCCGGGAAGUGCACUCGAAACUGCGAGGCUAGAGUAUCGGAGAGGUUGGUGGAAUUCUCGGUGUAGAGGUGAAAUUCGUAGAUAUCGAGAGGAACACCGGUGGCGAAGGCGGCCAACUGGACGAAUACUGACGCUGAGACUCGAAAGCGUGGGGAGCAAACAGG